CGGCAAACUAUGGUCUGCCGCCCCUUGUACAAAAACAGGCGUUGGGCCAUCGUUUGCCGAC
rnacentral:pre_miRNA from 1 species